CUCCAAUUUGUCUACUGCGAUUUGGUGCUACACACGUGCUACAAUGGACAAUACAAAGGGCAGCGAAACCGCGAGGUCAAGCAAAUCCCAUAAAGUUGUUCUCAGUUCGGAUUGUAGUCUGCAACUCGACUACAUGAAGCUGGAAUCGCUAGUAAUCGUAGAUCAGCAUGCUACGGUGAAUACGUUCCCGGGUCUUGUACACACCGCCCGUCACACCACGAGAGUUUGUAACACCCGAAGCCGGUGGAGUAACCAUUUGGAGCUAGCCGUCGAAGGUGGGACAAAUGAUUGGGGUGAAGUCGUAACAAGGUAGCCGUAUCGGAAGGUGCGGUUGGAUCACCUCCUAAAA
rnacentral:rRNA from 1 species